rnacentral:misc_RNA from 1 species
UAAGAAACUGAAAUCUCUUAUUUAUGUACACUUUAUUUGGACGUCAGCGCUAUCUUGCAGUGUUAUCUAUGCCAAUAAGUAGGACGUAAGAAUUAAAAGCUUUUACAUACAGCCAAUUCUCAAAUUUUAGCGACUUUAUUUUGUUUCUGUUACAAAGAAAGCCAUGAAGAAUACUUCAGUUGUUAUUCUGAUCUGUACUGUGUUUGUAGAUGCAGCAUACUGUUGUGUUACUGACAGUGAUUGCUCCAACAUCGUUUGUCCACCACGCAAGGACAAAUUUUGUCAUGAUUCCACGUGUCACUGUCACUAUAGGCACGAAUGUUUCACAGCUGCUGACUGCGCUUAUGAAGACUGCUUUAUUCUCAGUAAACUUACGUGUGACAACAACCAUUGCCAUUGUACUUCACCAACAACACUCGCAACCGUUAGUGGUUAGAAUAACCCCGGAUCUAUCUACAUGGUGACAUAUGAAGAGAAGCAUAGUAUUCCCAUCUAUUGUACACAUAACGGAAAUAUUAAACACUAUAUUCUUAA